CUGUCGAGAAUGCUAUGUCAUGCUGAUAACGCGCAUGCCGUUCGUUAGUGGGAAGUACUGGGCUCGCCGCGUUAAAGAAAGGAAAUGCGGGCAAGACAGAUGACGAUUAUCGUUGUGUGGCAAAAGGGUGUAAUUUUGCUUAAGAGUGUAAGAAGUACCGUGGGCUCGCAGCGUUAAAGAAAGGAAAUGCGGGCAAGACAGAUGACGAUUACUGUUCCGGGACAAAACAUAACCCAAAGGGUGUAAACUUUUUUUUUUUUUUACAGUGUGGAGGUCAAAAUUAAUCCGGAGUACCACCCUACGGCGUGCCCCUUAAUGCAAUCGUGGCUUCGGCACGUAAACACACAGCAUUCAAUUCAGAAUCAUCACAUUAUCCGGGCCAAGGUUAGGCCACGAAGGGGUGUUAAAAAGCUUUUAGAGUGGGCGAGAUCGGCCAGCUUAAUUUCGGAAUAUUGCCACACGUGCGUGAUGUUUUGCUGGUUUUAUUUUCUCGCCGAAUAUUGCGCAGAUGCACACCAUUAUCGCUGUCUCCAUGCCAUUGCUCUCGCGCGAGACGUGUCUGCUGUAUCGAAAACUUCGGGAACGCUGUCACCAAUUCUAUGGCGCCGGGGGCUACCGGGGGGUUAUCACGGGGCAGGCGUGUCUAAAAUAAUAUACCACGCGCCACAGGGGUAGUCGGUGCGACCAUCUCGGAAUGUAGCACGCGAGAACUAGCGAUUGGUCUGGACUGCACGCUGGCACACGUUCUGUUACCACGACAUGGGGAUCGAUUAUUUAUCUGGUUUCUCAUCUCGAAAGGGGGGGCCGGGCUGUAGAGAUUUGCAAAGGUCUCUUCAGGGUGUUCCUUCUCCCGCCACAGCUUUGGUGAAAUAGUCGAGCAUCCGCCGCUGCUGUGGGAGAGAGAGAGAGACAGAAACAACUUUACUGGUCCAUAAUGAAAUGGAACGCGUUAAGCGUCUGAUUGGGUGGCUCCCUCUUCACGGGCUCCAUAUGCUUCCAGGGCGGCAGCCGUGUGCUGCCGCCGGGUAUACGUAUGUACCGGUAAAACAGGCACGAGCGUGGCUCCCGGCCUGGUGCUCGGCAGCUACGGGAAUUCCAGACGCUUGGAAGGACACCUAUGGGGAAGUUGGCGGCAUGUGACCGCCAGACUCCUCUCUUUUUUUUUUUUUUUCGCGUGUGCUCGCGAAGGUUUCGACGGGAAUUUAGGGCGCAGGCUCCUUCUUCCAAGCGUGCAACGCCUGACAAAAGCCGAACGCCAAGUUCACUUGAACCAGUGGGGGCCCGGUGGGAAUCAAACUAACGAAAUACUGCAGGCGAGGCGUACGCUCUACAAUUAUAGGCUUCGGUUCAAUAGCUUAAGCAGUGAUUUGAAGGCCACGCACAAUGCUCGUUGCUAUCGUAGUCACUUUGGUGCUAAUUCUUCAUUUUUCUUCUGGGUACUUUUCUUCUUUUUUUUUCGUCGCAUUUCUUUGCCUUCACCUUAACCGCACCAUGAAAAUAUUGUUAAGGUAACUUUAUAACUGAAGACGAGGAAGUUGAAAGGUGUUAGAUGAACAGAACGAUCUCAGCGCCCUGGCGCCAUCUAAUAUGGUGCUGCCCAAUAUCAUCUUUUAAAAAUAAACCUAUUUCGCGAAUUUAACAAUACGUGCCAUCCAGCAUCGGUUAGCAUACCUGCUGUUUGGUUAAGACUACCUCUCCAGCUGUACAUUAAAAUCCUCUUCCUCGCUUAUACAAUCAUUAUAGGGUCGAGUGACGAUAGCUUCCAUAUACCGCAGCGGUAUAGCUCAGGUAGAACUGCGUCCAACACCGUUAACUGCCUCGGUCGGAUCAGGAAGUUAUGGUGUCGGUGCGACCAGAAACCGAUGCGUGUCAUUGGGUACACCGCCUGCGCCUUCCACUGACGUCAGGAGUCCCAAGGGGCAGUUUGACUUUGCUUUUCGUGUGUGUGCGCGUGCGCGCGCUGCAGUAGUGACCUUUCUCUCCAUUCGCUGUUCAUCCCCUCUCCCCCAGCGUAUGGUAUGCAAACAGGACGUGCAUCUCGUCAGCCUCUGUGCAUUUCCAUUUUUCACUCUCCCCGUCUCUCAUUCUUCCUUUAUAUAUUGCUGACAUCGUUAGUUAAUAUUGUGAAUCCCUCAUCGAAGAAUUGAUUGUUUGCGGAUUGCACUCUUUUUUUUUUUUAGGUAAAUUAUUUGCACCGACGACGAAAACGUUCCUGUGAGAAUACGAGCGAUUUGCUGAAAUGGUGCGAACGAUAAGGACAUGAUUAUUCGUAAGAAGACACUCAAUUCCAUUCAGAAGCCGAGUGGACGAAUGUGUGAUGGGUGUACAAAAGCGCACAGUCAAGGCACGCCUUUAGUUGUAAGCGGGCCAACGGGUGAAUAAAUUUCCUUGUCAACUUGCCCGGAUAACGGCUCUGGCUUUUGGCUCAUGGUCACUUGAAGGUCGCCGACAACGGAAGGUCAUGCGGUGACCCUUCAUCGUACGGAGCCCGAGCGUCGUCUUCGCAGUGUCGAGUCCGUGCAGAGGACGCCUUGUGGCUUCCAUUCCAGCGCCAAAAUAUCCUGAAACGGUGCAAAUACCUACACUCCUGAUGAGCGGUGUACGAAGGCGAGGAGUUGUUUCUACACCGCGCGCUGCUCGUCAGUUAUGUACCUGCGUUAAAUUGUAUUCAGUUAAGAGCUGUAUGAAUCUCUAAUAAAUGUCAGUCCGCAUACAGGAGUAUGCGCCAUCUAC